GGAAGCUGUGCUACGAUGCCUCAUCCAUCGAUGCUUCUGGGAGGACCCUGGCAUCUGGCCAGGAGGAUAUCUGCAACGUGUCUCUCCCAGCUGGUUUCAGCGACUACUUUGAAGGACGCAACACAGAGGCCGCCUUCGAGUGUGUCACGAGGUGUGCCGGAGCCUUUCCUCCUCUUUGCUGCAAGUACGGCCAGUGCCGGGUCCCCCACUCUGGGCCCGAGUGCCAUCUAGCACCCUGUUGCCCAGGGCCCAGAGGCAAGGCAUGAAGGGAGGACUGUGAUGUUCCUAUAUUAAUGUAUAUAUGGUAAGUGUUGUUUUAGAAGAUACAUGGUAAGUGGAGUGAAAGAGGGGGAGUGAAUGGGCAGUAGAAUGCGAGAUGAUUGGCUGAGUGUUUAAAAUGGCUGAAUGUAUAAAAGGAA